UACGUAGGGGGCGAGCGUUGUCCGGAUUUAUUGGGCGUAAAGAGCGUGUAGGCGGCCAUACAGGUCAGCUGUGAAAACUCGAGGCUCAACCUCGAGACGUCGGUUGAAACCGUAUGGCUAGAGUCCGGAAGAGGAGAGUGGAAUUCCCGGUGUAGCGGUGAAAUGCGCAGAUAUCGGGAAGAACACCUAUGGCGAAGGCAGCUCUCUGGGACGGUACUGACGCUGAGACGCGAAAGCGUGGGGAGCGAACAGG
rnacentral:rRNA from 1 species